UACGUAGGGUGCGAGCGUUGCCCGGAAUUAUUGGGCGUAAAGAGCUCGUAGGCGGUCUGUCGCGUCGAUCGUGAAAACUUGGGGCUUAACCCUGAGCUUGCGGUCGAUACGGGCAUGACUGGAGUUCGGCAGGGGAGACUGGAAUUCCUGGUGUAGCGGUGAAAUGCGCAGAUAUCAGGAGGAACACCGGUGGCGAAGGCGGGUCUCUGGGCCGAUACUGACGCUGAGGAGCGAAAGCGUGGGGAGCGAACAGG
rnacentral:rRNA from 1 species